rnacentral:lncRNA from 12 species
GGUAACUUCUCUAAAAUUAUUUUCUCCACAUCUUUCAGGUAGAAGUGAGAAGGACAGUCCAAGGAACAUUCCCACACUGAUGAGGUAUUUCCCAUCUCUGAAAGAAACACAGAGGGAUGCUGUCCUCACCCCAAAUAUACGUGCUUAGUGGAAGAGCAAGGACAUGAAACCCCUUUUAAAAUAUCUGCUGUUCAUGCAUAAAUUUAUCUCUACAUAAAGCUGAACUUCUCAUUUUAGGUGUCACACGGAGAGCAGCGGCAGAACGGACCAGGAAGCAGCUGUGGGUGAGCAAGAGAAGGCGGCAGCAGGCUGCAGUGGGCACGGAGCUCGGCUGCUGCGGGAGGGCAGAGCAGCGCCUGGUGCUGCGGCUGCCUCUGCGCACCCACCCGCGCCGACAGCGCCUCUCGCAACAGCUCCAGCGUCUCCUUGGUAAUGAAUUCCAACUUGUUUUCCCAAAUCACCUCAUAAUGACUCAGUUCGAAUGUAAUGAUGCAAUCCUGAAGGGAAUCAUUAGCUCCCAGCUCGGAGGGUCGGCCCCUCUCCAGCCCCAGCCCACGAGUUGGGGAUCGCGGCGCUGUUUGGAGCAGCCCUGCGCCCCCUCGGAGGUGCCAGCUCCGGGCUCUGCGUUCUUCUGGGGACACCUCACCCCAUCAUCCACUGCCAGCGCUUCCCUCCGAGCCGCCAGGUGUGCGACAGAGGGACAAUGUGUUUUCAAUUAGCUCGAGGACCACGUGGAGAAGGGACUCAGGGGCAAUUCUGCAGAGCAAACAUCUUUUUUCCUGCCUGCUACUCAUGUGGACAGAAAAUCUGACCAAAUCACGGAAGAGAAAAAAAAAAAACAAAAGAAGAAGAAGAGAAUUUUCAAACCACUGCUGGUGUUUUGUCUACAUUUGGUGACACACAAGAGAUGCCAUCACCAAGCCGGAUCCAGCCCCAGAUUAAGAGGUCUCCCAUCAACAGCCUUUCCCACAACCUGAAGCAAAUAGUUCAUGGACUGCUGAAAUGCCACUAAUUUCACCUUCCGACCCAUGAUGCACCCCAAACUCCUUCACCCUGCUGAGGUAAAAAUCCUAUCAGUGGCAGCUUUCCCGAGGGUCACACCCUGAUGACAUUUGUUCACUGGAGUUGGAUUUUCCAGUUUGUGCCUCAACUCCAGCACAGGGUGUUAAAUGAUAUACUGCAGAGAGACAAUGGCCAGGCCAAGAGUAAAACCCAGGUAUCAAUAGUCCCAGGAUACUAUGACAACCAACCAGUGUUGGAAAACAUUCCGUGCCACUGCCUCACACUUUUAUUUAUCAACAAAACCAGAUUUACUUUGUUUUAGUCUUAGCAAGACUCUGUUGCACUGGAGACCACUUAAAAUGAGAUUUAUCUUCCUUGGAAUAAAU